GGCCUUUAGAUACUACCUUAAGGGACCCUAGGUACUACCUUAGCUAAACUUGAACUCAACCUCUCCCAAGCUUCGAGUCUUCCUUUGUGACCCUUAAACCAUCCCAUUAUAUGGUUCUCUUGAGUGUUGAAGUGGUCCACCAAAGGUUUUUUGGGACUGUACCUUAGGUACUACCUUAAGGGCCUUUAGGUACUACCUUAAUGGCCUUUAGGUACUACCUUAAGGGAUUCUAGGUACUACCUUAGCUAAACUUGAACUCAACCUCUCCCAAGCCUUAGGUCUUCCUUUGUGACCCUUAGAGCAUCCCAUUAUGUGGUUCUCUUGAGUGUUGAAGUGGUCCACCAAAGGUUUUUUGGGAUUGUACCUUAGGUACUACCUUAAAAAUUAUUAUUAUUCAUUUUUAACUAAAUUUAUGAAAAUGUUAAUAUCCUUAUGUUUCUAACCUAUACUAAAAUAG
rnacentral:lncRNA from 1 species